UACGGAGGGUGCGAGCGUUGUCCGGAAUCAUUGGGCGUAAAGGGCGCGUAGGUGGCCCCUCAAGCGUGCGGUGAAAGUCAGGGGCUCAACCCCUGAUCGGCCGUGCGAACUGGGGAGCUUGAGCACUGUAGAGGCAGGCGGAAUUCCGGGUGUAGCGGUGGAAUGCGUAGAGAUCCGGAAGAACACCGGUGGCGAAGGCGGCCUGCUGGGCAGUUUGCUGGACACUGAGGCGCGACAGCGUGGGGGAGCAAACAGG
rnacentral:rRNA from 1 species